CCUCACAAGUUAUAGGGCAUUCUUCCUAGUACCUGGGAGAAGGCUUGGGUCAGCCAGACUGUAGAAUGUCUUUGAGAAAGUUGUAUAAUCUAAGACUCAGUUUCCUUAUCCUUGAAAAUGGGUACAAUAUUACUUCACAUUGCUUGAGGAAACUCAAAAGCCAGGUAAUCCUUGAAUUCUGUACUGUAGAUAUCUGAAAAAAAAAACUGGGAUACUGACUUGGUGUCAUGCUUGGCAUAUAUCAGGCUCCUGGCCAUGUUUCGAUGCUUCCUAUGUAGUGGGCAGCCCAGGUAGUGUGCAGGCUACCUGGGGAAGUCACGGCAGGAGGGAGUUGAGGCAGCUGGUCCAUUGCAUCCACCUUCAGGAAGCAGAGGGGGAUGAAUGUUGGCACUCAGCUUGCUUUCUCCUUUUCAUGUGGUCCAGGAUUCAGUGCAUGAACCAGUGGUGGAUUCUUUUACCUCAAUGAACCUAAUCAAGACAAUCAGAGGUGUGCCCAGAGGCUAACCUUAUCUAAAUAAUCCCUCAUAGGGGUGUGUGUGUGUGUGUGUGUGUGUGUGUGUGUGUGAAGGCUUGUCCCCUAGCUGAGUCCAGAGCCUGUCAAGUUGACAAUGAACUCCAACCCCCAUGGGACAGCCACACAGCUCACAGUAGGGUCUGAGAAGGGCAGGGACAGAGGUCUUCAGGAAUGUCACAAACUGUCACUUAGAGUAGGAGUGAAGAGCAUCUCCUUUGGACCCGGCAGGGCAGAUUUUACACGGCAAACCCACUUCAGCAUUCCAGUGUCCCGAGCUUUAAAAUUUCUUCAUCAGAGUUAAGUCAAAAGAAAGUAGACAUCUCCAGUUCACUCACAGGAGGUCAACUUUAAAAAAUAGUUUAUUUUAUUUAUUUGUUUUUGAAAGAUUUUUUAAAAAAUUAUUUCACCCUCCUGUAUGUCUGUGCCUCACAUGCAUGCAGUACCUUUGAAGGCCAGACGAAGGCAACGGAUCCCCUGAAACUGGAGUUACAGGUGGUCGUGAGCCCCAUGAGGGUACUAGGAAUCAAACUCAGGUCCUCUGCAAGAGCAGCCAGUGCGCUU
rnacentral:lncRNA from 1 species